GUGUUGUGGCAGGUGUGGCAAGGCUAUGGGUGACAGAAGAGAGUGAGCACACAGCGGCCAGACUGCAUCUAUUCCUUCGGCGGCGGACACGGCCGGGCAUGGCCGGCCAUGGCAUGGCAUACACGAAAACGAAUGAUGCUGCUGCUGCUGCGUGCUCACUUCUCUCUCUGUCACCUCUCGCACACACGGCUAGCCCGCCAGCCUC